UAGUCGUAGUAGUAGUAGUAGAAAUAUUAAUUUUCUUUUUUUUUCUUUUUACCGACUUGUUUUAUUCAGGCACAGGGUUGUCCAUGUCCACACCGAUGGCGACAGAGGACCUCUACGUCAUUGGCAAGAUGGCGGCUUCAAGCAGCAAGUCUGUUCUGUUUGUCUGUCUGGGGAACAUCUGCAGGUCCCCCAUUGCGGAGGCCGUCUUCAGGAAGAUGGCAACUGAAGCAGGUGUUGUUGACAAGUGGAGGAUAGACAGUGCCGCCACGUUCGGCCAUGAGAUAGGAAAUCCGCCCGACCAUCGCGGCCUAGCCUGCAUGAAGAGGCACAACGUGCCUAUGAGACACGUGGCUCGACAGGUGACCAAGGAUGACUUCAUGAGCUUUGAAUUUAUUCUCUGCAUGGAUGAAAGAAACUUGAGGGACUUGAAAAAGAAAGCCAACGAUGUGGAGAAUCACCAGGCAAAAAUCGAACUUCUCGGUGCAUAUGACCCGCAGAAGCAGCUGAUCAUCAAAGACCCCUAUUAUGGGGCGGCCAUUUUUCUGCCACUGGUCAACUGAUAAAUGACAUCACAGUUGCUUGGGGCUCACGUAACAACCAAUCAUGGCUCAGCUUCCGAAAACAGGGAAGUGACGAAGACUUUGAAAAGGUGUACGAACAGUGUCAACGAUGCUGCAGGGCGUUUCUCGAGGCAAACUCGUAGCGUUGUUGUCGCUUGCCAAUUGGCCACCGGUAAGGCAUUCUUUGACCACGUUGCGCAAGAAUAUCAUUGGUGUGGCGGGUUGGGAGGGACAGCCACCGGAACGCCUCCAAGUUUUCUGUAUUGUGCUUGCUCUGGCCACAUUAUUGACUUGGAGAACAAUUCCUGUGUUGAAAUAAAAACCAUAUAACCCA